CCUUGUUGGGUUUUUGCAUCUUUCCAUCGCACGGGCACACACAGACGAAUUCCACGCUUGUGCGUCAUCACUGACGGAUCUCCGCUCCCUGUGUGUGUGCGAGUUUUCCGGGUGGCGCGGAGGCGUGUACGUCGGAUCAUCAAGAGAAAGCGGCAACAGAAACCCAACCCACAAGCACACACCCAUCGACGGAGCGGGGGCACGCUAUGGGCUGCGCGAACGAGAAGUUGCACGCGCAGCAGAUUGCCUACCAGCGGGACUUCCUCGGCGCUUGCUGGAACAGCGUCCUCGGCGAGGAUGAAGCAAAGGAGUACCUGGCAAGCCGGUGGAUGGGGGUAUCGAGGCAGGUAAUGGGGCUGUACACCAACAACCACUGCUUCACCGUGCACACGCUGAGAAAGGAGGAAGAGACAGCGGCCGCGGACCCAUCCAAGGCGCUUGGCGACCUGACCGGAGCGCGGCCCGGCGUUGGCGGAAGCAUCGGCGUGGGAAGCGGUGGUCGGCAGCGGAGCCCCAGUGUCAGUGUGGGCGCGAGCCCGCACGCUGGAUCGCCCCCAGCGUCACCUAAUAGCCCCCUGCCAGUCAUCAAGCCAUCACCGUGUGCUCCAGCGUCUGGGAGCUUUCCGAAGACAACGCGCUACGGGCAGUCCGGCAGCAACGGCGCCCCCUACCCCGCCAACGCCGACGCCGAGCUUUCCAUGGUCAACGCGCGCGUCGCUGCCGCAGGGAAGACGAAGAGUGCCAACUCUGGAACAUUACGAACGGUGAUGAAAGACGCGAUUCAGCUGGAGAAGGCCGCACACAGCCACCACCCGUACCUUCGGCGUCACGAGCUCUCUGUCUACGGCGGUGUCGUCUUCCGCUGUGCCCCAGCGCACCGGCUGUAUCACCGCAUCUCCUUUGUGCCCGAGGCGCGCGCGAAGCGGCUGAACGACGCUCCUGUGUCGGCAGCUGCAGGCACCCGGCAGGACCAGCAGCCUGCGAGUACGCCGCCGUCCACGUCGAGCGUCGUCGCGGCUCCUGGCAGGGCCCUUUCGUCGCGGAAGCGUUCGCGCAGCUCUCUCGAGACGAGCGGCCGAGCAGUGAAGCACUCACCCCUACGCGAGGGCGAUGGUGGGUCGGUGGAGGACAUGCCCGCCUUACAACUCGGCUCCACCCUAGCCCGACACACAACCUCCUCAGGCGCCGACUGGGAGACCGAUGAUCCUCUUAGCGCGUCCAACAACUACCCCAUCGAAGACCGCGACGUUGACGGCGUGGCAGCUACGCGGCCGCCCGUGAUCAUCGGGAGCAUUACGGCGAUGGAACUGCAGGCCCUUCCGCCGAACGCAGAGCUGUGCUUUGGAGGAUGGCUCUACGUGAGCUUGCAGGAUGAACAAGAGCGUCUGCGCCGGUCGUUGGCGCGGUACGAGAAGCGGCGGCAUCGGCGCGCAGCAGCUAGAGAGGCUGCCAUCGCAUCGUCGCCGAUGGCCUCCUCUACAUGGCCGACUCCCUCGACGUUCUGCAAGGACAGCCUCAGUCCAGGGCAAUCGCCAGGUGGGCGGCAGUACAGCAGCGUCGGCUGCGGGACCGUCGAGGGCGCGUCUAAUGGCGGCGAGGCCCCGCUCCUCCGAACUUCUGUGGUGGCGCAAUCGAUGUCGGCACCGCGGCGGCUCUGGCAGCGUCGCGACAGCAGCGACGAGAUGAUCACGCGUAGUCAGCGUCCCACGGCGGCGGCGGCGGCACCGCCAUCCCCGCUCGGCGUAGUCCAGGAAGACACCUCCGCACCACCACCUGCGGAUGUCUCGCCCCAGUUCAGCCCCAACAAAGCCCUCGGCGACGCUGUCAUUGCUGACACGGAGGAUGUGGCGCAUGCGACUGCUCCAAUGCUAGACACUACCCCGGCUGCUGAGGCCGCGAACUCACGCGCCGAUGGAAAGGAGGAGGAGCAGCCGGUGCAAAACACUCCUCGGCUAUCAGCGGCACAGUCGGAGGAACGCGCGGCGCCCGCCAUGAAAACCGCCGCCGCACUACCGCCGCCGCAGUCGCAGCCAUCCCUGGCGAUGACUCGGCCGUUGAACCUGUCCUGCAACGUGAGGAGCGCAGUUGCCUCGUCUGCGCAUAGCCUGCUCAGGGCAACCGACGAGUCGCACAAGCGCGUCAUAAAAGUGCCCCCGCAGCAGCCGACUCCGAUGCUGAGUAUAUCUCCGCUAAGCCCGUUGCGGUGCACAGGAAAGUACGCGCAGGAGGCGAUGGAGGCAGAAGCGUUAGUGGCGUCGUGGCUGCCGUACGCGUACGUCGUCAUUGCCGUCCCCAUGUACGAGUGCUCGCUUGUGCCCACCGCCUUCCACACUGCCCUCAUCCGGCGUAAGGCCGUCUCUCUCAACCUCGCCGACGCGCAGUCGAGACAGGCGUACGGUGUCGGGUGCAUCACUGCUGCCCGCUACGGUGGUGUAAUGGUGGUGGAGUACCGGGAGAAGAUCAGCGAGGACGACGACGCGGAGUGGAUUGACGAGCUGCUGCGAGUGGGCCGCGCGUCACAGCAAAAGUACGGUGAGGCAGGAGCCAAGUCAGAUGGCACGAGCACCCCAGAUCUCGCUGCGUCAGCGGCGGCGGGGAUGUCAACGUCAUCAGUGCGGCAUCUCUCACGCACUGUGGCGCACCACGCACGCGCUGAGAAGCUGCACCGCAUCAAGAGUUGCAUCUGGCACAAGCUGCGGCGUCAAGGUCUGUACGUCAUCCUCGCCUCGACCCGCAUGGCCGACCGCCGGCACCGGCAGCAGCGCGCCUUCGUCGCGAGCGAGCUGAGCAGGGUGUUCCAAGCCUCGGCUAGCUGGUUGGGCGCGCCUGCGACGAGUGUUCCGGCCCACUUAAAGGGCCGAAAAAGUAGACACAGCGCCGCUCUUGCGGCCUGUGCGAGUGCGACGACCGGCGACGAGUAUGAAGAUGUAGAUGGUAUCGGUUGCGACUACUACGCCGCGGACAUGAACGGCGUGGUGGAUUACGACUCUUUGGACGACAACAGCGACAGCGACAGUCGCAACUCCCGCACAGGCCGUGCCUCGCGGUCUAGCAGCGGCAGCAUCGGAGAGUCAGCGGCAGCGAGGAAUGGCGGCGAAGGCGGUGGGCGCCGGCAUAGUCUGUGGUCGAAGCUCCCUCUCCCCGGCGGUAGUAAAAAUCAUCGGCACCGGCGACGGCACCGCUAUCACGACAGCCGUGGCGGCGGCGACGACGAUGCGCAACGGAAGAGACAUCACUCCAACCACUUCGGCUUAGGCGGCCAGCAGCGUGACGGCAGCGGUCGUCUUGGCCCGACGGCGGCGAAUCCCUGUCUUUGGGCAGAGCCGAACUACGACGAUGACUUUCUCCUGCGCGGCACCUACCGACAGAUUGGUGGGAUGAAGUACUUGGACGUUGUGGCGCUCAUAGACGGGUGCCCGGUGUCGGAGCUGGUCCAAGGCAUCAAGCGCUGGGUGGUCAACCUCCUCUCCAUGCCAAUCAAGGCGCGUCCUCUCUGCUUGUAUCUGCAGCGGUACGAGGGCAUUGCCUCCUCGCUACAGCUGCUCAGCACGCAACUAGCGAGCGCUGCCCUCGCAUCCAGCGUCGCCUCCGGUCACCUGGUCGCCCCGAUGAACCUGAGCUUCCACGCCAGUGGCGGCACCGGACUGGAGGCGGCGUCCUUUGUUUCGCAGCAGCAUGCCGAGGCGAUGGGCGGGGCGGCGAGCACAGGCAGCUUCUCUGCCGCCUCGGUGCUCAUGAACGCCUCCGCGACUGCCUCCACCAUCCUACGCGGCGUGCCGUACAACACCUACUACCGAGGUCCGCUUGACCCCGUUGUUCGGGCCGUGAUGUCGCCCGAAGUCGAGUCGAUGAUCGCGGCGUGCCACACACGUCAGCUGCCGGAGGUUUUGCGCUCACCGCAGUUGCCCGCGCCACACGCAGUGACGAGCGAUGGCGCCACCGACGCCGGGUCCCUCCCUCGACUACCCCCUCCCGCUUCAGUCGCUCGCAGAGGCAGCCGUGACGAUCCCAGGAGCAGCAGCGGCCAUACCAGCCUGACGCCGCAGUUCCUGCAAUCCUUGUCAAGCAGCGAUGUCAAGAGGGUAGUGCCAGUUCAGGCAGGAGUAGAGGUCGCAGCGCAGGUGCUGUGCAGCCCGCGGCUGUCUACGCCUCGAAGUCCGACGACGCCGCACACCGGGCGCCCACUCUGUGCCGACCCUAGCCCUAACCCUAGCGCCUCGCCCGCACUACUGCUGCGAAAGGAACAGCACGAAACCCCCACCGGCAGUGCUGCCGUGCAGAGCUCCACUACACACGUCGAUCCCACUUCUGCGUCGCUGCUUCCUAGUGCCCCGCUCCCCGCUGCGUUGUUGCUGCGCACCGCCGACACGGCGCCACCGAAGCACACUUCUGCAGGGCCUUCCUCAGAGUCCAGUGAGUGCCCCCUGUGUGACGAUUCGUUGCAGAACGACAGCGCGGUCGGCAACAACUUUACUGCGGCUAAUGGAAGGGCGCUGGCGGCGGCAGCUACAGCGUCGGUGGUGCCCGGCGACAGUAUCGGCAACCCUACUGGAGACGGUGUUACGAACGGCAGCUCCGCUUCUCCGACCGUCAUCGACCCGCUGACUGCCCCCCCGCUGUUGCAGGACGACUGGAAGCAGCGAGAGACGCCGUCGUCGCGGAGCCAGUGCUUCAGUGUCGCUGCUUCUAAGGGCGGAGCGACAGGCGACGACACUCGCCCGGACGGCGCCGCCGAUGCUGAGAAGCCGCGGUGCGUCAGGGACUCGGACGACAAUGCGUCCACCGGUCUCCGCAGCAUGCUGGACCACACACACUAUCCUGGUCAGCGUUCCCUGCCUGAGCGAUCGGAGACCAUGGCAGCAGCAGUAGCUCGAUGUUACAGCAGUAGCGGCGAUGACGGCGCCAGUGAUGACGUCGACAGCGACGCUGCGGCGCGCCGGAAAGCCGGCGGAACUGCCUGCGCUGGUGCAGAGGAAGAGGAGGCGUCGUAUGGCGAACGAGAGUGGCAGCUGGCGGACCGUGAGCUGCGGGCGCUCAAAUCGGAGCUGGACGAGAUGCACUACCUCGUCUCCACCGCCCACAGUGAGCUGCUGCAAAGGUUGGAAGAAAGUUCUCAGCUUGGCGCCAUCUUCCUGCCUCACACGCGGCCCGAUCAAGUCGACCUCUCGCUUCUUACAUUGAAGAUGAUGCGGCAGUACCCCGAGGAGGUGCCCGUGAAGGAGAUCCACACGGACUGGGUGCCGAUGCUGAUGUCGCUGCUGACCAUAUCGCGCGACAGCCUGUUCUGCUGCGCCGGCGACGGCGGUGACACGCUGGGCUUUUUGAGAACGUACAACAACGCCGUCACGCAGUCGGACGCAUGCGACGCCGACAAACGCCGUGAGCUGUGCGACGCGGGAACGACCAAGUACACGAUCGACCCUCUUCCACCGUUGCCAGCGCCGCGCCUGCUACACGACAUUGUCAUUGCACCACAGCCGAUCCGCCUCGCCAAGGAAGUGCUACGUGAAGUGAAGCGGGUAGGCAUGGAUGAGACUGGUCUGUCCUUCGCCUUCUCCGGCGGCUCACUCGGUGUGCUGGCUGGCGUGCUGUACUACUACACCGAUUUCCUGCGUGCUAAGUACCGCAGCGGGGUGGCGGCAGCAGGUAGGUGGUCAAAGGAAGCAGGGGCCACGGUGCAGGACGUGCUGGCGCGCGACGGGUACAACGUUGUCCUGCGGCGCAUCUGGAUCUGGGGUGUGAUACCGGACUCGAUUGAGCGCAAGUCGGGCAUCACCUCCGCCGUAGCUAAGACGAAGCAACUACUAAGAGGGAAGCCGCGGCGCCGCGACCGAGCGGAUUCGGCUAACUCGACGGAGUCAACCUCGACUCGGUGUGCCGAGGAUGCCAAUUAUGUAGUGACGAACACAACGGGCCUAGGCAGUGGCGGCGCCCGUGUGAGAGGGCAGCCCUUCCGCAGCGCCGAGGCCUACGCCCUCUACGACGCCGUCUUGCACUACCUCCGCACGCUCGAGGAGCUUUACACGGAGCACCACGGCAACGCCUUCAUCGCGUCGCAGGGCGCGAUGAAGCGCCGGUCGGUUUUGAUGGCUUGGCGGCGCAGCAAGGGUGGCCCCGACGCGGCGGCCACAGCAUACGAAAACGGUGGCGAGUCGAACGGCGCGUCCGGGAGCGCUGCUGCUGCCUCGCCGGCGGCCGGGGAGCUUGUGCCGAAAUUCGAAAUUUGUGUCGCCACAAACUACUACUACAAAGAGAUGAUGGAGGAAGCGCGGCAGCCACGCGCCCCCGCUCGCAGAAGCAGCUCCCUGCUUUACACCAGUGGCAGCCUUCACCACACGCUCUCAGAGACUUCCCGCUACAAGCGCCUUUCUGCCACUGUCCCGCCUCCGCCGGCCGCGUCGUCAAGUGCUGCGAGCGGCACCGUCAACGUUGCAGUGGAUGGACGCAACGCCCUAGCUGCGAUCCCACCACGGCUGCAGGCGGGUAGCGCUGGCAGUCGCGCGAAGGCCGCGAAAGAGGCGGCGGAGAGGGCGCAGCAGCCCCUGGAGCAACCGUACUGCGGUGGGGAAGAGACGGUAAGAAGAAAAGCGCCGCAGCGACAUGCCGUGAAGAAGAUAUUCGGGUUCUUGACCGAGCACUACGAGCAGUGGCGCGCGCGACACAGUGACGACCCCGCGGCGAACGCGCUGGCGAAGCGCGUUCACAUCUCCAUCAAGUAAGCCGACAAGCACACGCGAGACGGGGCAAGGCCGAGAUGAGGACACCGUCAUCAUUGUGUGUGUGUGUGUGUGUGUGUGCAUCAGCGUGCAACUGAGUGCGGGGUGGUCAAACACCGCAAGAGGGGGGGGGCAUUCGUUUUGUGGGUAUGACAUGUGGCUGCGUCCAUCGCCAUGGCAGGACCGCUGCUCCCUAUUCCUGGGCUUCGCUCUGUUUUGCUUUGUGUUUUUUUUUCAUGGUUGCUUCCCCUCCCCCUCCUCCUCCUCCCUGGCUCCCUCUGCCUCGCUCUGCCUCUUUCUGCUUUACGUGGGCGCCAUCGCCUUACUCG
rnacentral:misc_RNA from 1 species